AAAUUGAAGAGUUUGAUCAUGGCUCAGAUUGAACGCUGGCGGCAGGCCUAACACAUGCAAGUCGAACGGUAACAGGAAGCAGCUUGCUGCUUCGCUGACGAGUGGCGGACGGGUGAGUAAUGUCUGGGAAACUGCCUGAUGGAGGGGGAUAACUACUGGAAACGGUGGCUAAUACCGCAUAACGUCGCAAGACCAAAGAGGGGGACCUUCGGGCCUCUUGCCAUCAGAUGUGCCCAGAUGGGAUUAGCUUGUUGGUGAGGUAACGGCUCACCAAGGCGACGAUCCCUAGCUGGUCUGAGAGGAUGACCAGCCACACUGGAACUGAGACACGGUCCAGACUCCUACGGGAGGCAGCAGUGGGGAAUAUUGCACAAUGGGCGCAAGCCUGAUGCAGCCAUGCCGCGUGUAUGAAGAAGGCCUUCGGGUUGUAAAGUACUUUCAGCGGGGAGGAAGGUGUUGCGGUUAAUAACCGCAGCAAUUGACGUUACCCGCAGAAGAAGCACCGGCUAACUCCGUGCCAGCAGCCGCGGUAAUACGGAGGGUGCAAGCGUUAAUCGGAAUUACUGGGCGUAAAGCGCACGCAGGCGGUCUGUCAAGUCGGAUGU
rnacentral:rRNA from 1 species